CAGCGUGUUUCCAAGGUUUAUGCCUGGUUGUAGCCAUGGGAUCUCCAGCUGCAUGCAAGGAUAACCUGGAGAGACUUUGGCAGCACAUGUCAGCAUAACACCUGUAGCUGCCACUCAACUUUCCUAUAUUU
ensembl:snoRNA